GGCAGGGUAGCUCAGAGGUAGAGCACGUAAAAAUUUCUUCACCCCUCGUUGACUGUCCUGCGCUGCGUCGCGCGGUGUAGCGCAGAGCGGACAAAUGCCGAAGGAAUUACAGCAUUCCCGGGUCGUGGCGCGGGUUCGAAUCCCGCCCCUGCUG
rfam:Cardiobacterium hominis ATCC 15826 genomic scaffold SCAFFOLD6, whole genome shotgun sequence.